rnacentral:rRNA from 1 species
GUGGGGAAUCUUGCGCAAUGGGCGAAAGCCUGACGCAGCCAUGCCGCGUGAAUGAUGAAGGUCUUAGGAUUGUAAAAUUCUUUCACCGGGGACGAUAAUGACGGUACCCGGAGAAGAAGCUCCGGCUAACUUCGUGCCAGCAGCCGCGGUAAUACGAAGGGGGCUAGCGUUGCUCGGAAUUACUGGGCGUAAAGGGCGCGUAGGCGGACAGCUUAGUCAGAGGUGAAAGCCCAGGGCUCAACCUUGGAAUUGCCUUUGAUACUGGCUGUCUUGAGUUUGGGAGAGGUGAGUGGAACUCCGAGUGUAGAGGUGAAAUUCGUAGAUAUUCGGAAGAACACCAGUGGCGAAGGCGACUGACUGGACAAGUAUUGACGCUGAGGUGCGAAAGCGUGGGGAGCAAACAGGAUUAGAAACCCGAGUAGUCC